rnacentral:rRNA from 1 species
UGAGGAAUAUUGGUCAAUGGGCGCAAGCCUGAACCAGCCAUCCCGCGUGCAGGAAGACGGCGCUAUGCGUUGUAAACUGCUUUUCCAGGGGGAGAAACUUGCGCACGUGUUGCGCAAUUGACGGUACCCUGGGAAUAAGCAUCGGCUAACUCCGUGCCAGCAGCCGCGGUAAUACGGAGGAUGCGAGCGUUAUCCGGAUUCAUUGGGUUUAAAGGGUGCGUAGGCGGACUAUUAAGUCAGUGGUGAAAUCCUGCAGCUUAACUGCAGAACUGCCAUUGAUACUGAUAGCCUUGAGUCUGGUUAAGGUAGGCGGAAUGUGUAAUGUAGCGGUGAAAUGCUUAGAUAUUACACAGAACACCAAUUGCGUAGGCAGCUUACUGAGCCGACACUGACGCUGAGGCACGAAGGCGUGGGGAUCGAACAG